rnacentral:rRNA from 1 species
UAGGGAAUCUUCCACAAUGGGCGCAAGCCUGAUGGAGCAGCACCGCGUGAGUGAAGAAGGGUUUCGGCUCGUAAAGCUCUGUUGUUAAAGAAGAACAUGUAUGAGAGUAACUGUUCAUACGUUGACGGUAUUUAACCAGAAAGUCACGGCUAACUACGUGCCAG